UUCGUAGGGUCCGAGCGUUGUCCGGAAUUACUGGGCGUAAAGCGCACGUAGGUGGGUACUUAAGUCGGAUGUGAAAGCCCUGGGCUUAACCUGGGAAUUGCACCCGAUACUGGGUAUCUAGAGUAUGGUAGAGGGAAGUGGAAUUUCCGGUGUAGCGGUGAAAUUCGUAGAUAUCGGGAGGAACACCUGUGGCGAAGGCGGCCAUCUGGACAACUACUGACGCUGAGGUGCGAAAGCGUGGGGAGCAAACAGG
rnacentral:rRNA from 1 species